rnacentral:rRNA from 1 species
GACGAACGCUGGCGGCGUGCUUAACACAUGCAAGUCGAACGGAAAGGCCCUGCUUUUGUGGGGUGCUCGAGUGGCGAACGGGUGAGUAACACGUGAGUAACCUGCCCUUGACUUUGGGAUAACUUCAGGAAACUGGGGCUAAUACCGGAUAGGAGCUCCUGCUGCAUGGUGGGGGUUGGAAAGUUUCGGCGGUUGGGGAUGGACUCGCGGCUUAUCAGCUUGUUGGUGGGGUAGUGGCUUACCAAGGCUUUGACGGGUAGCCGGCCUGAGAGGGUGACCGGCCACAUUGGGACUGAGAUACGGCCCAGACUCCUACGGGAGGCAGCAGGGGGGAAUAUUGCACAAUGGGCGGAAGACUGAUGCAGCCACGCCGCGUGCGGGAUGAAGGCCUUCGGGUUGUAAACCGCUUUCGCCUGUGACGAAGCGUGAGUGACGGUAAUGGGUAAAGAAGCACCGGCUAACUACGUG